GCCUCUGUAGUUCAGUGGUUGGAAUGUUUCCUUGGUAAGGAAAAGGUCCCGAGUUCGAUUCUCGGCAGAGGCU
rnacentral:tRNA from 1 species